AACGAACGCUGGCGGCAGGCUUAACACAUGCAAGUCGAACGCUCCGCAAGGGGAGUGGCAGACGGGUGGGUAACGCGUGGGAACGUGCCCUAAGGUAUGGCAUAACUUCGGGAAACUGAAGCUAACACCAUAUGUGACCGAGAGGUGAAAGUUUAUCGCCUUAGGAUCGGCCCGCGUCAGAUUAGCUAGUUGGUGGGGUAAUGGCCUACCAAGGCGACGAUCUGUAGCUGUUCUGAGAGGAAGAUCAGCCACACUGGGACUGAGACACGGACCAGACUCCUACGGGGGGCAUCAGUGGGGAGUCUUGGACAAUGGGCGCAAGCCUGAUCCAGCCAUGCCGCGUGGAUGAUGAAGGCCCUAGGGUUGUAAAAUCCUUUCGUUGGGGACGAUAAUGACGGUACCCAAAGAAGAAGCUCCGGCUAACUUCGUGCCAGCCGCCGCUGUAA
rnacentral:rRNA from 1 species